GACGAACGCUGGCGGCGCGCUUAACACAUGCAAGUCGAGCGAGAACCAGGGCUUCGGCUCUGGGGGACAGCGGCGAACGGGUGAGUAACACGUGAGUAAUCUGCCCUCGACACUGGGAUAGCCCGGGGAAACCCGGAUUAAUACCGGAUAGCCUUUCGAGCUCUCGGGCUCGUCAGAAAAGGAUGGCUUCGGCUUUCGGUUGA
rnacentral:rRNA from 1 species